UACGGGGGGGGCAAGCGUUGUUCGGAAUUACUGGGCGUAAAGGGCUCGUAGGUGGCCAACUAAGUCAUACGUGAAAUCCCUCAGCUUAACUGGGGAACUGCGUCUGAUACUGGAUGGCUUGAGUUUGGGAGAGGGAUGCGGAAUUCCAGGUGUAGCGGUGAAAUGCGUAGAUAUCUGGAGGAACACCGGUGGCGAAGGCGGCAUCCUGGACCAAUACUGACACUGAGGAGCGAAAGCCAGGGGAGCGAACGGG
rnacentral:rRNA from 1 species